rnacentral:tRNA from 1 species
GCAUCUGGUUUUUGUCGUUCUCCCCGAGUUCAAACCAGGUCACCACGCCUUAGUACUCGGCUACGAACCGAGCGGUCGGAGGUUCGAAUCCUCCCGGAUGCACCA